rnacentral:rRNA from 1 species
AGAGUUUGAUCCUGGCUCAGAAUGAACGUUGGCGGCCUGGAUUAGGCAUGCAAGUUGAGCGAACCCGCAAGGGGAGCAGCGUAAGGGGCAGUAAGGCAUAGGUACCUACCCCGGGGUCGGGCAUAGCCUGUAGAGAUACAGGGUAAUUCCCGAUGACCUCGAGAGAGCAAAGAUUUAUCGCCCUGGGAGGGGCCUAUGUGAUAUUAGCUAGAUGGUGGGGUAACGGCCCACCAUGGCGAAGAUGUCUAGCGGGUGUGAGAGCACGACCCGCGCCACUGGCACUGAGACACUGGCCAGACACCUACGGGUGGCUGCAGUCGAGGAUCUUCGGCAAUGGGCGCAAGCCUGACCGAGCGAGGCCGCGUGGGCGAUGAAGGCCUUCGGGUUGUAAAGCCCUGUCGAGGGGGAGAAAAGGCAACUUGAUCUAUCCCUGGAGGAAGCACGGGCUAAGUUCGUGCCAGCAGCCGCGGUAAGACGAACCGUGCGAACGUUAUUCGGAAUCACUGGGCUUAAAGGGCGCGUAGGCGGGCUGCCAAGUCCGGGGUGAAAUCCUCCAG